UACGUAGGGACCGAGCGUUGUCCGGAUUCAUUGGGCGUAAAGAGCCCGUAGGCGGCCACUCAAGUCGAAUGUGAAACCUCGAGGCUUAACCUCGAGCCUGCAUUUGAUACUGGGCGGCUAGAGUCUGGUAGGGGGGAUCUGGAAUUCCUGGUGUAGCGGUGGAAUGCGCAGAUAUCAGGAGGAACACCGGUGGCGAAGGCGGGAUCCUGGGCCAGUACUGACGCUGAGGAGCGAAAGCGUGGGGAGCAACAGG
rnacentral:rRNA from 1 species